UACAUAGAUCUAUUUAUAUCUGUUUAGAUCAACUUUAUAUCUACUUAGAUGUAAUUAGAUCUCUUUUUCCAUUUUUUUUAUCUUGUUAGAUUUAAAUUAGAUCUAUUUAGAUUUAAUCCAUUUUUUCCCGGGUAGUUACAGUAAUAUUGCCUUUAUCAGCACAUGUAAAGAUUAUUUCAGGAUUUUCUUUAUUUGAUAUACUAGCGGUGAAUGGGUGCCUCUAGGGUCUGUUGAUCCAAGACAAAUGAUUACGCUGAGCGAGUCCGAGGCAACUGCAACCCUUGGGAAACCAAAAUCUUUAAGUUCUCUAUUCCAGAGCGCAGAUAAUGCCGCGGGCUUUCGCAUCAAAGAUAGUGGAAUUAUUAUUUAUGCGUUCGUAAUGGAUGAGAUCAGGUUCGUCUGAGACCACAGCGAAACCAACCGCAGGUGGUGUCUCAUCCGAGCCUAGGGUCAGAGACUUGUCGGUGAAGAAUACUCUGAUGAAGCCGUGGUCCUUGAAGAAACUAUCAAGAUAGUGCUGGGGGUCCUCGGCCCGACGUGCAAGAAAUCCAGUGUUGGUGUCUGUGUCACACUUAAAGAACCGGACUUGGUAUGGAAGAGCGAGACUUCCCGGGAGGGUUGUUCGCCUAUUACAUCAAGCAACACGUUGGUCGGAGUAGUGCGCAUGAGACCACACACUACCCUAGUGCAAGCGAACUGUAGACGGUCUAACACAAGGCUUUCGCGUGCUCCGAGAGGGAAGGUUACCUGGCAACCCCAUUCUAAGACGGAGCGUACCAGCCCCUUAUACGCGGUUAGCAAGAUAGUAAGCUACGUGUUUUUUCCACCUCAGGGAAUAAUCUGUGUGAACUCCAAGGAAUCUGACCGUCUACUCUAUGUUUAGCUUAGUCCCUGCCAGGGCCACAUUUAGUUGCUGGGCAACAAUCGACACAGAGAGGUUAGAGCAAAAGACUACUAUGUCGUCAGCGUAGAUAAGGGUAUCACCGACGGCCGCAGGGACGCGGGACAGGAUGACCCAGAAAGACCAACCAACCGAAAUCCAGCGAGAAACAGCGCAGAACAUCCCAUUGGCCGAGGAAAAUCGACCAAUCACAGAAAAAGGAGUGCCAAGUGGAUCGCACGCAGAUUCCGGCAGUGCCGAGUGUGUGGAUGGCACAUAGAAAAGCGGCGGUAUGCCGAAAAAACUAUUAAUUACACGGAAGUAGAGAGCGUUGUCGAAAAAAGAUGAAGCCUAGUCAGCCAUGUUUAUAUGAGCCACUAUUACUGCCAUCUGUUAGUAUUUCACUAUACUUCGAUGAAAUAAUGCACAAUAA